rnacentral:lncRNA from 1 species
UCAUGUUCAAUAGCAAGACCCUCUAUUGCCAAAAGUUGUCUUGGCUAGAGGAAUUCGAUACUGAGUCUGAGGAUUCACAUUUACUAAAUAUCAAUCCAGAACAUUGUCAAACUAUGAUGGACCAUACCAUGAUCCAUAUAUAGUUUGGAAGAUGCUUAAGAGUGACAGUUCUAUGACUUUGAAUUGUAAAGCUGGUUAAGAAAAUUAAAUAACAGCUGUUAAAUAUAAAAGGAUGUGAACAUUAAUUCUAUCUCCCUCCUCACAAUUUUUCUUUCUUUUCCCUCUUGAUUCUAGGAUUGCUGACUUUUGAGUUGCACAAGACAUGUAUGUAAAGAAGCAAAUUAGUUGGAAUUCCAACAAGUUCAACGGUAUGGUAAAUUGUUUUGAUGAUAGUCGAUGAUUGAAACAGUCACCUCAAAAUUGCCCCAGUAAAUAAAUACAGUAUGUCGUCGGCUGUUUUCUUAACUUUGUGAGAAAGCAUUACUGCAUAAGUUUCAACCAUAAAAGCGAUAAUUUCCAUGGCAAUGAAAGAUUAAACUCCCAUAUUUUUUUAGCAUUCUAAGCAUAAUCAAUAAUCAAACCAACAAUAUUAUAAACUUCAUCCCAUUUCCACCCAAUCCACACAAUGACAUGGCAGCAGUUUCAUUACACUCUCUAGAUUUGUGCCACACCUCACAAACUAGACAGACCACAGUAAUGAGCUCUUGG